rnacentral:rRNA from 1 species
UACGGAGGGAGCUAGCGUUGUUCGGAAUUACUGGGCGUAAAGCGCGCGUAGGCGGCUUUGUAAGUUAGAGGUGAAAGCCCGGAGCUCAACCCCGGAACUGCCUUUAAAACUGCAUCGCUUGAAUCCAGGAGAGGUGAGUGGAAUUCCGAGUGUAGAGGUGAAAUUCGUAGAUAUUCGGAAGAACACCAGUGGCGAAGGCGGCUCACUGGACUGGUAUUGACGCUGAGGUGCGAAAGCGUGGGGAGCAAACAGG